CCCGUACCGCGCUGCGUUGUCGAUCAGCCUGCUGCCUCACCUUCCCAACUCCCUUCCUUCCCAUGAUGCUGCUCUGAAAACUGAGGCUUAGAGUCAAAGCAAGUCAGCAGGCGAACAGGGCUCUUCAGAGAAAGGUCUAGGUUUCCUAUCUUCCUCUCUACGGGGAAACGCAGGAUCUGCACCACAGUGGCCAGAGAGAGAAGAGUUGUGUCUCCCAAGGGACAUCAUUUAUCAACUUUCUUGAGUCCUUGCAUGCAGACUUGGAGCUGAGCUCCUCACCUCUAUCCACUCACUCGUCUGAACUCAGGAGACUGGAGCUGGGUACUUCGAGGCAGCUCUUGGCAGACCCGCACAUUGGCGCGUUCCAGCGCGGGGACAGCGCAAGGCCAAGGAUGCAGGUCAGAUGAGAAGGGAAUGGCCCGGACAUGCCCUUGUGGGUCCCUGCAGGACCUCUUCAGCCAGCACCAGGAAUCUUCAAUGAAGGUAGGGAUCUAGGGAAACUACGGGAACGGUCCAUCUGUAGCUCUCAUAGCAGGCUCUGGCAUAUGGCUGAUGCUAUGAGUGGUUCUUAGUAUAAUACUUACGUUAAAUUUUUAUUUUUGUGUGUAUGGGUUUUUAUCUGAGUGUAUGUCUGUGCAUCACGUACAUGCUUGGUGACCUCUGCCCUCCGAAGUCUUGGAACUGGAGUGACAGACAAUAAGGAGCCACUACGUGGGUGAACCUGAGUUCUCUGGAAUAACAGCCAAUGCUCUUAACCUCUGGGCCAUCUCUCCAGCUCCUUGGUAUAAUAUUUAAUCAACACAGAUGGUCCUUCGUUUCCAAGAGUCUGGGGCCCCUGCGCUGUUCAAGUCAAAACACUUUCUGUGAGAAGCCCAGACUGGGAGCCGGGCAGGCCACCAUCAAUGUAAGAUCUGCCUGAGGCAGAGAGACCAGAGAGAGAAAAAGGGACUCCUCACUUGGAAUAAACGCGGAGGACAUUUUCACGGGAGAGGCAGUCUUGAAGAAAAAGUAACAGGUGUUUCAAAGACAACACAAAGAGGCUGGCGUAAGGUGGCCCCGCCCCCUUCCCAGCUACGGGCUAGAGGGCGGGGCUUGGCUGAGGAGUUGGAGGCGCCUUUGGGAUUUCAGGAAUAAAUCCAAUGUUGAACUGAAA